rnacentral:rRNA from 1 species
CGGCGUGCCUAAUACAUGCAAGUCGAGCGAACGGACGAGAAGCUUGCUCCUCUGAUGUUAGCGGCGGACGGGUGAGUAACACGUGGAUACCCUACCUAUAAGACUGGGAUAACUUCGGGAAACCGGAGCUAAUACCGGAUAAUAUUUUGAACCGCAUGGUUCAAAAGUGAAAGACGGUCUUGCUGUCACUUAUAGAUGGAUCCGCGCUGCAUUAGCUAGUUGGUAAGGUAACGGCUUACCAAGGCAACGAUACGUAGCCGACCUGAGAGGGUGAUCGGCCACACUGGAACUGAGACACGGUCCAGACUCCUACGGGAGGCAGCAGUAGGGAAUCUUCCGCAAUGGGCGAAAGCCUGACGGAGCAACGCCGCGUGAGUGAUGAAGGUCUUCGGAUCGUAAAACUCUGUUAUUAGGGAAGAACAUAUGUGUAAGUAACUGUGCACAUCUUGACGGUACCUAAUCAGAAAGCCACGGCUAACUACGUGCCAGCAGCCGCGGUAAUACGUAGGUGGCAAGCGUUAUCCGGAAUUAUUGGGCGUAAAGCGCGCGUAGGCGGCUUCUUAAGUCUGAUGUGAAAGCCCACGGCUCAACCGUGGAGGGUCAUUGGAAACUGGAAAACUUGAGUGCAGAAGAGGAAAGUGGAAUUCCAUGUGUAGCGGUGAAAUGCGCAGAGAUAUGGAGGAACACCAGUGGCGAAGGCGACUUUCUGGUCUGUAACUGACGCUGAUGUGCGAAAGCGUGGGGAUCAAACAGGAUUAGAUACCCUGGUAGUCCACGCCGUAAACGAUGAGUGCUAAGUGUUAGGGGGUCUCCGCCCCUUAGUGCUGCAGCUAACGCAUUAAGCACUCCGCCUGGGGAGUACGACCGCAAGGUUGAAACUCACAGGAAUUGACGCGGACCCGCACAAGCGGUGGAGCAUGUGGUCUAAUUCGAAGCAACGCGAAGAACCUUACCAAAUCUCGACAUCCUCUGACAACUC